rnacentral:rRNA from 1 species
UACGUAGGGCGCAAGCGUUGUCCGGAAUUAUUGGGCGUAAAGAGCUCGUAGGUGGCUUGUCGCGUCUGCCGUGAAAGCCCAUGGCUUAACUAUGGGUCUGCGGUGGAUACGGGCAGGCUAGAGGCUGGUAGGGGCAAGCGGAAUUCCUGGUGUAGCGGUGAAAUGCGCAGAUAUCAGGAGGAACACCGGUGGCGAAGGCGGCUUGCUGGGCCAGUUCUGACGCUGAGGAGCGAAAGCGUGGGGAGCGAACAGG